UACGUAGGGUGCAAGCGUUAAUCGGAAUUACUGGGCGUAAAGCGUGCGCAGGCGGUUGUGCAAGACAGAUGUGAAAUCCCCGGGCUCAACCUGGGAACUGCAUUUGUGACUGCACGGCUGGAGUGCGGCAGAGGGGGAUGGAAUUCCGCGUGUAGCAGUGAAAUGCGUAGAUAUCUGGAGGAACACCGGUGGCGAAGGCGGCAUCCUGGACCGGCAUUGACGCUGAGGCGCGAAAGCCAGGGGAGCAAACGGG
rnacentral:rRNA from 1 species